GCCCGGGUAGCUCAGUAGGUAGAGCACGUGGCUGUUAACCACGGGGUCGCAGGUUCGAAAAUAAGGGCGAAAGUCCUGCCCCGGGCG
rnacentral:tRNA from 1 species